AUGUCAACAGCAUGAAUAUUAAAAUCAGAAUGACACAGACAAGAUUAACAUGGACCAUGCACAAGGAUGACAUUGAAAUGCAGGAAAGGCGCCAUGAAACAGUUUA